GUUUAUAAGGCCCUACAUUUUGAAUGAGAAGACACCUGAACUUUCUGAAGACUAUUUUAGGAAGGCAGAGGUCAUCUUCUCUCUGCUGACUUCGAACUGCAGUGAGACCACCAGAGCACCACCAUUGUCCAGGUCAUCAUGGGAGUUAUGACUGUAUAUGUUCUUCUCUGCGUCCUCUUCACCUUCCUGGGGACUGAGGGAGGUCUCCACCAGGGUAUCUGCGAUUAGCUGCACCAGUGGAGAGAUUUGCCAGAAGGCCCCCACCAUGGCCAAAUCAGAACCCAUGUCCUCCAGGGUUUUCUCGACCCAACCGUUACUUGCGAACAUGCUAGCUUUUCGACAACAGCUAUUCCUUAUUCCUGGAGUACUCUAAUUUCAUAUUUAUUUUUAUUAGUCAAGGACCUUAGGUACUACUGACCACCAAGUAGAUGCUGACGUUGACUUUUCCCUUUUCUCCCUGACAGUCUGGAUUUCCCCAGAAGAACUGGAUGAGAGGUUCUCAGCGUAACAUGAAUGGACAGAGUGAGGACUGCUUGGCACUGCUGAAAAUCAAUGGUGAAGCAGGCUUUGAUGACAUGAGCUGUUCCGGAAUCGUCACCUCUGCCAAAACUCUCUGCAAGAUUCAUACUUCAAUGGACUGACUUUCGUAGGAGUCCAAACAGAGAGUGGAAAAGGGGUUUUGCCAACUCUCUGAUUUUCUUUUUCUAGUAUCGCACAAAAUUGUUCUGAGUUUGAUUUAAGUUGAGUACAAUAUAAUGAAAGGUGACGCAAUGGCUACAGAUACAUACACAAUGAUACAUUGAUUCAAUUGUAUUUUUGAAAGCAGAGUAAACACUUGAGUAAACAAGGGAUACAAAGAAUAUUUGAAAGCACGUGCUUCCACACAGGUGUGGUUCCUGAGUUAAUUAAGCAAUUAACAUCCCAUCAUGGUUAGGGUCAUGUAUAAAAUGCUGGGCAGGCCAUUAUUUUGGCUACCAUGGUUAUGCCCCCAUAGAAUCCACAGGGCACGAAUGGUCACUGAAUCGUUUGAUGAACAUGAAAUCGAUAUAAACCAUAUGUCAUGGCCGUCUCAGUCAAUAGAUCUCAACGCAACUGAACACUUAUUGGAGAUUUGGGAGCGUUGCCUGAGUCAGCAUUUUCCACCACCAUCAACAAAACACAAACUGAUGUAAAUUCUCGUGGAAGAAUGAUUUCGCAUCCCUCCAAUAGAGUUCCAGACACUUGUAGAAUCUAUGCCAAGGUGCAUUGAAGCUCAUGAUUGCUCGUGGUGGUCCAACACCCUGUUAAGAUACUUUAUGUAGGUGUUUCCUUUACUUGGACAGUUACCUUUCAAUACAUAAUGAUACUUUGAUUCAAUUAUAUUUUGGGUGGUCUUUUUUUUAUUGAAAAUUAUUGUCAGGUUUUGCAAUGGAAUUGUCCCUAUACAGAUGUGGCAUCUGAAUUUGAUCAUUAUUUUCUUGCUGAGGAAAUGCAACUUGUUGUGCAUACAAGGUUUUUAAAGGCUUUUAAAAUUUGCAAUUUCCAUUUUAAAAUGUCAGACUUGAUUAGCCCUAAAAAAUAUGUAUCAACCCCUACAAAAAAUGGCCAUGAAUUAUAAUCCACAUAAUAAUUCACAUUUCCUGUUGCUUCAGGAUCAUUUUCUGUAACAUACUGUAACAUACUGGCUCAAAUUAAGAUCUUACAUCAGUGUCACGUUCUGACCAGUAAAGGGGUUAUUUGUUAUUGUAGUUUGGUCAGGAUGUGGCAGGGGGUAUUUGUUUUAUGUGGUUCGGGGUGUGUGUUUAUGUAGAGGGGUGUUUGGUUAGUGUUUUCCGGGUUUUUGGGGCUAUGUUCUAGUCUAGUCUUUUUAGUUCUAUGUUUAGUUAAUUGAUUUGGCCUUCAAUUGGAGGCAGCUGCUCCACAUUGCCUCUGAUUGAAGGUCCUAUAUAGAGGGGUGUGUUUUGUAUGGGUUUUGUGGGAAGUUGUGAUUGCAUAGCUGUGUUUAGCCUGUAAUCCUGUUCGUUCGUACGUUUUGUUUUCUUAAGUGUUCAAAAUAAAUAUAUAAUGAGCACUCAA